rnacentral:rRNA from 1 species
UGGCUCGCACCUGUCUAACUAAACUUGAGCUACCAAUUUUAACACGGUUGCAUCGGUUGGCUGUCAAACAGUGCGGAAACGCGCUGGGCGGCGGUCGACACAACAAUUCAACACUUUUGAUUAUCUAGGAUUUGAAUGAAAGUUCAUUUUUAUGAUGAAACGACUGGUAAUGCGGUCGUCUAAAUCUAAAAAACAACUUUUGGCAACGGAUCUCUUGGUUCUCCCAUCGAUGAAGAACGCAGCGAAUUGCGAUAAGUAAUGUGAAUUGCAGAAGUGAAUCAUCGAAUCUUUGAACGCACCUUGCGCUCCCGGCAGAUCUAAUCUGGGGAGCAUGCCUGUUUGAGGGCCGCGAAUUGUUUCGAACGACAGCUUUCUUCUUGUAAGAAAGAUGGCGGAUCGGUAUUGAGGGUUUUUUUGCCAUUUACCAUGGCUCCCUCGAAAUGCAUUAGCGCAUCCAUUUAAUAGGCAAGACGGACGAAAGCUCGAUUUUCGCCCUUCUUUUCCCUGCCGGGUUUUGAUAAUAUCAGGACUUCGGAGGUGAAGAGAUGGGUUAGAGCUGGACGCAACGUUUUGCUGGUUGGAGUGCUUCUGAACCCCGCCCAUGCCCUUGCAAAAGGGAAGGGAUUUAUUUCAAAUAUCAAUAAGCGGAGGAAAAGAAACUAACAAGGAUUCCCCUAGUAACGGCGAGUGAAGAGGGAAGAGCCCAAGAUUGAAAGCUGGCGUCUUCGGCGUCCGCAUUGUAAUCUCAAGAAGUGUUUUCCGCUUCGGACCAUGCCUAAGUCCCUUGGAAAAGGGCAUCAUAGAGGGUGAUAAUCCCGUACAUGGCAUGGAGCGCCCGAAGCUUUGUGAUACGCUUUCUAAGAGUCGAGUUGUUUGGGAAUGCAGCUCAAAAUGGGUGGUAAAUGCCAUCUAAGGCUAAAUAUUGGGGAGAGACCGAUAGCGAACAAGUACAGUGAUGGAAAGAUGAAAAGAACUUUGAAAAGAGAGUUAAACAGUACGUGAAAUUGCCAAAAGGGAAGGGUAGGAGGUCAGAGAUGCGGCUUAGGAUUCAGCCUUGCUUUUGCUUGGUGUUUUUCCUAAAUUGCAGGCCAACGUCGGUUUUGGGCGCUGGAGAAGGGUGGAAGGAACGUGGCACUCUUCGGGGUGUGUUAUAGCCUUCUACUGGAUACAGUGACCGAGACCGAGGACAGCAGCGUACUCGCAAGAGCGGGCCUUCGGGCACCUUUACGCUU